AUUUUUGUAUUUAUUUUGAUUUAUAUAUAAUAUCGAUUCUUUAAAAAUGUUCCAAUGAAUAUAUUAUAUCCAUGCAGAAAAAAAUUUUUUAUUUUUAUUUUUAUUUUUAUUAUUUUAAUUAAAUUUUUAUUAUUUUAAUUACAUGAAUAUAAUGUCAAAUUCAAAUUUUAUGUAAAAUAUUGAAUUAUGAAGAUUAAUAAUAUCUAUUUUCUUUUAUUAUAUAAUUUUUAUAUAAUUUUUUACUUUAUUUUUAUUUAUUAUGUUAUAUUAUUUUUAUGUUUUAUUUAUUAUGUUAUAGUAAUAUUCAUUUUUAAAUCAAGUUAUUAAAUAUCUAAAAUCAUAUUUAAAAUUACUUAAUCAUAUUUAAAAUUUGUAUAGCAAUACAAUAAUAAUUUCACAGUUUUUUUUUAAUAUAGUUUUAAUUAUUCAUAAUUAUAGAUUAAAUAACAAUAGUUUAAUUGUCCGAAACAAAAUUAUCUCAACGUGUGAUGCAACAUCUGAAGCUUGGUUUAAUCAACUUGAGGAAGUUUGCUAGUGGACGGUAGUUGUCAGGAUUUCCCAGGACAACGCUUAAAUUUUUGUCCCCGCAAUACAUAAACCGUACGCGCGGGAUGAACCCGUCUGCUGCUUGUGUCAGCUGCUGUUAGGACCGUAAUGAGAGGUGCCAUAAUGUUAACGGCCGAACGCAUACAUUCAAGCAAUUACGUCGCUCCAACUAAUUUCUGUCCCUGGGCAAACUUGAGGAAUUCCAUGUGCCACGAGUAGAGACGCGCGGGCGUGUAAGGGAUUGCGAACGGGGCGGAGGUUGCCGAGGAAGAGGCGGAAGUUACUGCUGACCAUUUCGUCGGAUCUAGCCGCGUUUUCACCGUUCACUUAUACACACGGUCGCCUACCCCCUGUACACAUUGUGCGAGAAGCGUACAAAUACAAAAGCGAUUCGCCCUUUAGCGAGACGGAGUUACGAAUGCAGCCGAGAGGGUUGUUUGUCAAGAGAAUUUUCAGCGGUGAGCACGCUGGCCAACGAGUAUUACGGGUUGAAUUAAUUCCUAACAAAAAUAUGUGAAAUAUUUUCACGGAGGAGACGAGCGAGCCGCACACAUCGUUCCUCCAUAUUAUUGCAAAAAGGCCACAUGUAUACGUAUACCGUUUGUUGGGCAUUGCCCUACACGCUUUCUGUUUUCCUUUCAGAUUGCGCGUCAAGUUUUUCGCGACAAAUUGCCUUCGGGCGAGAGACCUAUUUCUUCCUCGUACUACGUUCCUGCAUUUUUACAUCUCAAGACCGAUCGUUCUUUUCCAAGCUUACGUUCGCCUUUUUUUUUCGUUGAUUUGUGUCUGGCACAAUAUUCUGGUAAAUAUUUAUGAUAGAAUUUUUACGUUAAAGUGAAAUUUAUAUUGAAAUUUAAAAAAUUCAGGACUGCGUAUCAAAAGGUAUAUGGACCGUUUCGAUCCAUUUUUCGCAAUUACAACAACGCAUAUACCUGUACGUUAUAUAUAAUAAUAUAGGAAUCGUUUAAUUUUGAUAUUUUGUCCCAUUCAUCCAUGCGAUGCCGGAUAAUCUCGAUGCAAAUCAUAACUGGUUAGUUGCCUAUUAAUCUACGAUUUGAUAUAAUCCGUACGAAUCUAUCCGAAUUCGUAAUAUUUUAUUUCUUUUUUUAAAUACUCUUUAUUAAUAUUAAUCCUUGUUCGAGCAUUUAAAACAGAAUUCUUCUUCAUCGGGAUCUAUAAAUCUAUGUAUCCUUUCACGACUUUCAGUACGUAAAUGUAGAAAGAAACCGUCAUUCUUGGCGAUGCUCGGCCGAUGCCAUUUGCACGCACGCUUGUACACCGUCUCGAGAAAGAUUUUUCCAACGAAAUUCCUUCUCUGUGCCCAGAAUAGUCAUUCAAGUUGCCGGCGACGCGUCGCUACUAUUCACGAGCCAUUCCCCCUUCCCUCCCCCACCCUCCUUUUUUCCUUUCAUCGAUUUUUCAUUCCUUCCCGAGUGAAUCAACGACGAUUCACCUUUCGAUCUCGAAACUCGAAAAAAACUUAGAUCACGACGCGAGAUUUGCAAUGUGAAUCGACGCGAGACGACUCUCCUCCCUUCCUUCCAAUCUUUCUCCCUCCUUGCCUCCUCUAAUCUCCCUUAAGCGUCGAUCGUAAUUGACCGUCGUCAAUUUUGAACCCGAAUACGCGUCUAAGCAGGAAUUAUAUGCAUCGAACAACCGCGGAGCAUCAAGGAUGGAGUGGAAUAGAGGGGGUGGAAAGGGUGGCGCAGAGUGGAGGGUUGCGAGCGAGGCAGCCGCGAAAGGGAGCAUUUGGCGUAAUCGAAGUAUCGCGUGCUUGUGGAACGAUAAUUCCAUUACGCGAGAGAACAAACGUACCUACAUACGUACGGCGAAGGCAGGACAUUUUUAUCGGGUACGAUCUGAUAUUUCGUCGAUCAGCGUCGAGCGUUGUUGUAAAAGCGCGUGCGUGAGAUACGCGAGUAAUUCUCCUCGCGUGGGAAAGUAACGUUUCGGGUUGGCAUAAAUAUAACGGUCGAGACUUAGACGGAACGAACACGCUUACGGUAACUUCUGUAUAUAUAUAUAUAUAUAUGUAUACGUUCGCCAAUCAUCCUGCACCGAGUGUUUGUUAAAAACUAUUAAUUCGCUUGUCGGGAGAUACUUUUCGAUAUAAUUCCGAUAUACAACCUCCCUUUCAUGUUUCUCCUCGUUCUCGCAUUUUUCCUUCUCUUUCUUUCCUCUAUUCUUCCUUUUUUUUUUAUAUAUCUCAAGUACACGUUGAAUUUGCGGAUCGUUAUUAUGAUUCACCAGGUUUUGACGCGAAAACGAGCUGCCCUGAACUUUCUUAAUCUGAAGUAAACCAAAGCGCGGAUAAUACGCCUUCUCCCCACCCAUUCGGAGACUUUAAUAAUCUAACUUUUCGCGCUACUUUGCGUCCCAGUUUUAACCUAAAAAUUGCUUUUCUCCCCUUCGCUCAUGGAGAAUUGGGGAGGGAGGGGGAGGGGAGGUUGAAAUUGUAAAACGAGUAUUUAUACGUCUUCGCGUAUAUCAUGCUUUCAACGUUGUCGCGAGAGAAGCGAGAAAGAAUUGCUUCUUUUUUCUUCGAAUUACUGAAUGAAACUUUUUUUCAUUGCCCUCUAUCCAUCGGGAUAAAAUGGGACUAUUUCGUUUUGACGAACAUUCCAUCGUCGAAGGAAAAAAAAAAAAGAAAAA